CGUUUUGUAAGAUACAUAAAGUAAAAAAAAAUAAAUGAAAGAGUCUGCCUGAAAAAUGUUAUUAAAUAAGACAUUGAAAAAUGGCAUCAAAGCAAGAACACUCCAACAGACAGACAUCAAUUUUCAAUCCAGCCCAACUCAAACCAACAUGGCCACAUUAAAUAAACAUUACACAACGUGUUCAAGCAAAUCGCACAUUCAAAUCACAAGAUAGAUAAUAAAGAUUGAGUAUUAAUGUUUCGUUUUCGCUUGUUUUGCCGCUUGUUCCACCUCGCACCCUUGGAGGGUUAACCUCCCUAAAAUGGUAAAAUCAUAUCAAAAUAUGAAUAUUUUAUCAGAAUCCUUCCUUUCUUUCUGGCCUGAGGUUUAUUCCUUCCAUUCCAGGGGGUAGCAGUAGCCCACCACUAGGCAAUCGAAACGGUUUGCUUCUCUUUAUUGGUUGAGUAGGCAGUGAACAAAUCAGGCCCGCGGUGUAAUCUGCAACACAAAUCGGGGAAGCCUCCACAUCGUCAUACGUCGAGUUGCCAUUGCUUUUCUUCCUUCUUGGACGCUACGCGGCGUCGUCGAUUAGUUUUGCAUAACCUUCUUCUCCAUUAUUGAAGCUGGACAACGCCCUUAGCGUGCGGAUAAGUCGAACAGCUCGCGCCAUUGGAUCGAUACAGCACACCACCUCCCUCCGGAAGACGUUUGGAAUCCGGCUCUCCAGCAAGCAGCGGAUACUCAUCAGCAGUGCGAAAAGAAAGCGAUGAAGCCAACGGCUCUUGUCCCUGUCCGUCCGGAGAACCGAUGCCGGUGUCAUAAUAUGAUCACGCGCAUGGCCCUUGCGGACUGCCAGCCAGUAGAGCACCACCGCAAAAAGCGCAACAGUGUGUAUUCGAUCUGGGACGGACGGCGUAUUUCGCUUCAUCUCCGAUUUGGAGAUAUUGGUAUGUGUGUGUGAGAGAGAAAGAGCGAACAAGGGCACAAUACAGAACACUCUGCACAGUAGCCACCGACACCAGCAGGCACCGAAACCUUCCCCGUGUAUCGAUCGAAGCAACCAGCCGGCUCGAUAAAUCUCUAUUUUCUCUCACUCCACCAUCUGGACAGCACAAAACAGAAUCCUGGAGGAGUGUGGUAGCAUGAGCCACAAAAACUCCGGAUGACCAGUACGAAAAAUUGGUCCUCACUCCAGUACCACGAACAGGUUGGACCUGCAACUAUCCACCGGGGUCCGUUGACGAACAGGUUUUCCUUGACCAUCGCCAUCCGUGGGCAUUCCGCGUGUUCAAGUACCCCUCUCGGCGUACGCACACCAACACACCGUUCUUCUGUUGCGCGUUGGUUGCAUCAGCGUGGCGCCCUCGCUGCACCCAAGCCAAGAUCGUAAAAUGUAAGCCAGGAGCCUUGGCAUUUCUCCCCGAAAUGGGAUUGCUGUGUAGAAGAGGGCACAGGGAGAGAGGUUGGGAGAAAUGAUUUGAAUAAAAAUAAAACUGAUAAUGUAAAGCCCUGUAUGAAGCAACUUUACAAUUUUGGAAUUUAAUGUGCAAAAAAACAAUGUAAGUAAAGAGUUAACAUCAAUUUAGAAAGAAAAAAAACUUUAAGUAAAAUAUAGAAAUGAAAGUGUAAGAAAAUGUAAAAAAGAAAUAACAUAACUUACAAACGAGGAAUAAUUGAGAAAAAUAAAAACAAAUGAAAGUUGAAGAGUAAUAUGGAAACAUGAGAACAUGAGAACAUAAACAUAAGAUUAACAUUUUCAAAAAACAUAAUAAGACAAACAAUACACAAUGACGAACGCGAAAAUCACCCAAAAGACAUAACAACAUCAACAACAUGAUGAAACAACACAAAACAAAACAUGAUAAAAAUAAAAAAACACCAACAAAUAGAAAGUAGGAGAGAAAAAAGUAAAACAAAAUCAGCGAACACAAAACAAUCUCAAAGGGAAAAACAACAAGACCAAACCAAUCCAUCGGACAAGUGAAAAUAUAGAACACAGACAAACUUGACUAACGAACGAACCAUCGGAACGAAACAACGCGGAUUUCUUUCAAGUGGGAAAGACAAAAUUAAGAGCCAAUUUGUUUUAAAUAAUUAGUUAAAUAAAGGCAUUACUUCAUUUUUGCCAAAUGCGCAUAAGUCGCACACGCGUACGAUUUUAACAUUCUUAGCCAAUUAGGAUUGUUCUUGUGGGGGAAGAAAUGGGGGGGCACAUGUUUUAUAGCUUAAACUUUAAGCACUUGUUUUCUCUUUCUCUAAUUGUUGUUACAAAGCGGAAAGGAUAUACGAGUUCCUCUAUUUUUCUUCUUCUUCACUCACUUUUUCCCGGACACUCGAUUCUCUUGUUAGUGUAAUUUGCGUUUAAUUUUGCUUGGCUUCUCUAGAGGUAAACACGUUGUAUAUUAGAGAUAUAAUUUUGUUUUUGGAACUCUCUCUCUCUUUCUCUGCGUUAGUCAAGCUGUCUCGUAAAGGAGGACACGACCUGGAGUAUAAUUUUGCAAACACCAGCCCCUGAACACGACAUCGAUUUUCCACGAAACCACACAACACAGCAAGCAACAACGGAAUAGAACCACCACCGCACCCAUCCCCCGCCUCUUGCUUCGGAUACAACAUUUUGCUUUUCAACCUCCUCUCCCCUUUCGGACAGGGAAAAUCGGGCGAAAUAAUUCAAACACACAAGAGCGGGUUUUUUGUUUGUUUUCUCUUUUUUCUUGUUCGUUUUUGUUUUCGUGUGAAUGGUAAUUAUUAGAGGAGAGGUAUUAAUUUUCUUUUCCACUUUCUUCUGCGUUUUGUUGGUUCGAUUUAUAAUAAGCGCUGCUCUUUGCUGAUGUUUUUUUUCCCUGCCCUCAAAAAGACUCGCCCCUACACCCUACACACUGCGCUGCUGCUCCCCCAUGUUUCUUCCGAAGUCCCACAGAUUAA